AUGCAAGUCGAGUGCGCGUGCCGUAGCAAUACGGCAUGGCGCACGGCGCGCGGGUGCGUAACACGUGGGUAACCUGCCCUUUGGUGGGGAAUAACUCCGCGAAAGCGGAGCUAAUUCCGCAUAAGAUCCGCAAGGAUGAAAGCCGCAAGGCGCCGAUGGAGGGGCCCGCGCCCGAUUAGCUUGUUGGUAGGGUAAUGGCCUACCAAGGCUUUGAUCGGUAGCUGGUCUGAGAGGAUGGCCAGCCACACUGGAACUGAGACACGGUCCAGACUCCUACGGGAGGCAGCAGUGGGGAAUCUUGCACAAUGGGCGAAAGCCUGAUGCAGCGACGCCGCGUGGGGGAUGAAGCUUCUCGGAGUGUAAACCCCUUUCGAUCCGGACGAAACCCCGCAAGGGAUUGACGGUACGGAUAUAAGAAGCCCCGGCUAACUACGUGCCAGCAGCCGCGGUAAGACGUAGGGGGCCAGCGUUGUUCGGAAUUACUGGGUGUAAAGGGUUCGUACGCGGUGCGGCAAGUUGGGAGUGAAAUC
rnacentral:rRNA from 1 species